UCAGCCAAGGGAGUGAGCUCACUCACAAUUUUGCCUAAGAACACAGCCAUGUAUACAGAAUGGUACAAAAACAUCCCUUGGGAGCAACUUCACCUAACAUCCAAGAACUGUUGGUGACAAACAAUGCCUUUUUCAGCAUGAUGGCGCACCUUGCCAUAAGGCAAAAGUCAAAACUAAGUGGCUUGGGGAACAAAACAUCGGUCAAUGGCCAGGAAACUACCCAGGCUUUAAUCUAUUAAGAACUUGUGGUGAAUCUUUAAGAGGUGGAUGCACAAAAAAAAAAUUCUGACAAAUUGCAGGUAUUGAUUAUGCAAAAAUGGGCUGCCAUCAGUCAGGAUGUGGCCCAUAAGUUGAUAGCAUGCCAGGGCGAAUUGCGGAGGUCUUGAAAAAGAGGGGUCAACACUGCAAAUAUUGACUCUUUGCAUAAACGUAAUGUAAUUGUCAAUUAAAGCCUUUAAAGCCUUUGACACAUAUGCUUGUAAUUAUACUUCUGUAUACCAUAGUAACAUCUGACCUAAAAAAAAAUCUAAAAACACUGAAGCAGCAGACUUUGAAAAUUUGUAUUCGUCAUUCUCAAAACAUUUGGCCAGGGGCUGUACUUCAAGCUCAUUUUGCAUUUCAAUGGUACAGUAUUGGGUAUGCAAAACUUGGCUGACGUGAAAAAAAGCCUAUCAACACCAGUCCAAAAUUUUUUUCUCUAAAUGUGUUUUUUUUUUUUUGUUUUUUUUUUUUAUAAAGCAUGCUCAAGAUAUUUGAAAUUACUUUUUUGAUCAUUAAGAAU